rnacentral:rRNA from 1 species
GAUGAACGCUAGCGAUAGGCUUAACACAUGCAAGUCGAGGGGCAGCAUGGUCUUAGCUUGCUAAGACUGAUGGCGACCGGCGCACGGGUGCGUAACGCGUAUGCAACUUGCCUCACAGAGGGGGAUAACCCGUCGAAAGACGGACUAAUACCGCGUACACUCUAUUUUGGGCAUCCAAGGUAGAGGAAAUGAAAUUCGCUGUGAGAUAGGCAUACGUCCCAUUAGCUAGUUGGUGAGGUAACGGCUCACCAAGGCGACGAUGGGUAGGGGAACUGAGAGGUUGAACCCCCACACUGGUACUGAGACACGGACCAGACUCCUACGGGAGGCAGCAGUGAGGAAUAUUGGUCAAUGGGCGAGGGCCUGAACCAGCCAAGUCGCGUGAAGGAUGACUGUCUUAUGGAUUGUAAACUUCUUUUGUAGGGGAAUAAAGAGGGGCACGUGUGCCCCAGUGAAUGUACCCGACGAAUAAGCAUCGGCUAACUCCGUG